rnacentral:rRNA from 1 species
CACGUAGGGUGCGAGCGUUGUCCGGAAUUAUUGGGCGUAAAGAGCUCGUAGGCGGUGUGUCGCGUCGGCCGUGAAAACCUGCAGCUUAACUGUGGGCUUGCGGUCGAUACGGGCAUCACUGGAGUUCGGCAGGGGAGACUGGAAUUCCUGGUGUAGCGGUGGAAUGCGCAGAUAUCAGGAGGAACACCAGUGGGCGAAGG